AGAUAUGUUUGUAAUAUUUGGUGGUGAAUCUGAUAGUCACCAAAUAGACAACAUAUCAUG
rnacentral:pre_miRNA from 1 species